GUGGGGAUGGUAUGGAUGUUUUCUGGAAUGACCCAUUAUACCAUAAGUAUUGUAUCCCAUGGACACCAUCUUAUCAGUUCUGUAGUUUUUUGACAAUCUACUGUAAACCUCCAACUAUAAGCACUGGGCUUAUAUUCUUUCGUAAGUGAUUUUUGAUGGGCUUACACAAGGGGGGCUUAUACACGGGGGGGGGGGGGGUAUAUUCGGAGGUUUAUGGUAUGUAUGGUAUUCACGAUUUUCAGUGUAUAGUCUUCUCUUGCUCAUCACAAAUUAAUAAAAAGAUCACACACUACAUAAUUGAUGUUUAUAAAAUUUAUUUAUUUUAAAAUCGAAA